AACUUUUGCAAUCGAACUAUCAGUGUACCGUAUGUAAUUAUAGGUAUAACUGUGUGUCAAAGCAUAUGUUACAAAAGUGUGUGAUAAAUAGAUUAUAAUGCAUUUUGUGACUGUAUUAAAUGUUUCUUCUUUAUCUGUGUUAAUCUUCCGUUAUAGCUGAGAAGCAUACCCAGAUAAGGACACAAAUCGACAACCACAAAUCUUUCGUCAAACA
rnacentral:lncRNA from 1 species